GUGGCUUAGAUACCCCAGUAGUCCACGCCCUAAACGUUGAUUACUCGCUGUUGGCGAUAUACUGUCAGUGGCUAAGCGAAAGCGUUAAGUAAUCCACCUGGGAAGUACGACCGCAAGGUUGAAACUCAAAGGAAUUGACGGGGGCCCGCACAAGCGGAGGAGCAUGUGGUUUAAUUCGAUGAUACGCGAGAAACCUUACCUGGGCUUAAAUGUCAGGUGACCGCUGCCGAAAGGUGGCUUCCCUUCGGGGCAACUGGCAAGGUGCUGCACGGCUGUCGCCAACU
rnacentral:rRNA from 1 species